AUACGGAGGAUGCAAGCGUUAUCCGGAUUUAUUGGGUUUAAAGGGUGCGCAGGCGGCCAUUUAAGUCAGCGGUUAAAUCGUGGGGCUCAACCCCAUUCUGCCGUUGAUACUGGGUGGCUUGAUUGCGGUCGAGGUUGGCGGAAUUCGUUGUGUAGCGGUGAAAUGCGUAGAUAUGACGAAGAACACCGAUUGCGUAGGCAGCUGACCAGACCGCAAAUGACGCUCAUGCACGAAAGUGCGGGGAUCGAACAGGAUUAGAUACCCUGGUAGUCCGCACAGUAAACGAUGAAUACUUGUUUUCGGCGAUAUAAUGUCGGAGGCAAAGCGAAAGCGAUAAGUAUUCCACCUGGGGAGUACGCCGGCAACGGUGAAACUCAAAUGAAUUGGCGGGG
rnacentral:rRNA from 1 species